GCAGCAGCAGUACUCACUGUGGGUUCAGUAUGUGUCUCCUUAAUGAAAGAUGGUUCAAAUUAGUCUAACAUUAAACACUCUACCUUGGGUGAACUUAAGCAGUAACCAUUUUCAGAGGAGUCAUCAAUGCCAGCAUGUGUCAACAGAAGCUGUCUCAGGCCCAGCAAGGGAGUGAGCCCCUUGACGGUCUAGCCAGCCUUCUUUCUGCCUCUCAGCUCUGCUUGUUUCAUCUACGAAGGCAACUGUUAGGAUAUUUUUUAGAUUCUCCCCUUCCCUUCCACUAAUACUUCAGCAGAUGCCCUGAACUUCCAAUUGGUAGCUCAUUAACAACCUUUUGAAUCAAUUAGAGAUAAAGUAAGGGGUCAGAUCCAGCAUGUGAGAAUAGAAUAGGCCUGCCUAUACCUAGCUCUUCUGUUUUUGUAGUGCUUGUUUACAUGUCUGAUCCCCUUGCAUUCCACAGGACCCUUGAUUUGCAUAUCUUUAAAGUCUAUUUUCUUAUUGUUGGCCCACAGGCCAACUCACUACUGUCUUGGCCAACCUUAGUGAAGCAAACUAACCUCCAUAAUGUGGGUGAGCCUCAUUCAAUCAAUUGAAAGCCUUAAAAGAAAAACAUUGGUCUCCCGCAAAA